rnacentral:rRNA from 1 species
CCGAGAUCUUGCGUCUAAUACUGAUAGGCUAGAGUCUCUGAGAGGAAGUCGGAAUUCCUGCUGUAGGGGUGAAAUCUAUAGAUAUCAGGAAGAACACCGGUUGCGAAGGCGGCCUUCUGGCAGAGGACUGACGCUGAGGUACGAAAGUUAGGGUAGCAAACAGGAUUAGAGACCCUGGUAGUCCUAACCGUAAACGUUGUGUACUAGGUGGUUGAAGUAUUGAUCCUUUGACUGCCGCAGCAAACGCAUUAAGUAUACCGCCUGGGGAGUAUGCCGGCAACGGUGAAACUCAAAGGAAUUGACGGGGCCCCGCACAAGCAGUGGAGCAUGCUGCUUAAUUCGAUGAUACGCGAGUAACCUUACCAGGUCUUGACAUAUACCUGUCUGGUGUAGAAAUACAUCAUUGCUUCGGCACGGGUAUACAGGUGCUGCAUGGUUGUCGUCAGCUCGUGCCGUGAGGUGUUGGGUUAAGUCCCGCAACGAGCGCAACCCUUAUUCUUUGUUGCUAACAGGUUAAGCUGAGCACUCUAAGGAGACUGCCGGUGACAAACCGGAGGAAGGUGGGGACGACGUCAAAUCAUCACGGCCCUUAUGACCUGGGCUGCAAACGUGCUACAAUGGGUGGUACAAAGAGUUGCGAGACCGCGAGGUGGAGCUAAUCUCAAAAAACUAUCCUCAGUUCGGAUUGGAGUCUGAAACCCGACUCUAUGAAGUUGGAAUUGCUAGUAAUCGCACAUCAUCAUGGUGCGGUGAAUACGUUCCCGGGGCUUGUACACACCGCCCGUCACAUCACCCGAGUUGAUAUACCCGAAGUACCUGAGCUAACGGUUUACCGGGGCAAGGUCCUAAGGUAUGCNUGGCAAGGGGGAUGAAGUCGU